rnacentral:rRNA from 1 species
CCUACGGGAGGCAGCAGUAGGGAAUUUUCCGCAAUGGGCGAAAGCCUGACGGAGCAAUACCGCGUGAGGGAAGAAUGCCUACGGGUUGUAAACCUCUUUUUUCAGGGAGGAACAUAAUGACGUGUACCUGAAGAAUAAGCAUCGGCUAACUCCGUGCCAGCAGCCGCGGUAAGACGGAGGAUGCAAGUGUUAUCCGGAAUCACUGGGCGUAAAGCGUCUGUAGGUGGUUUAAUAAGUCAACUGUUAAAUCUUGAGGCUCAACCUCAAAAUCGCAGUCGAAACUAUUAGACUAGAGUAUAGUAGGGGUAAAGGGAAUUUCCAGUGGAGCGGUGAAAUGCGUAGAGAUUGGAAAGAACACCGAUGGCGAAAGCACUUUACUAGGCUAUUACUGACACUCAGAGACGAAAGCUAGGGUAGCAAAUGGGAUUAGAUACCCCAGUAGUCCUAGCUGUAAACUAUGGAUACUAGAUGUUGAACAGAUCGACCUGUGCAGUAUCAAAAGCUAAACGCGUUAAGUAUCCCGCCUGGGAAGUAUGCCGCAAGGGUGAAACUCAAAGGAAAUUGACGG